AUUGAACGCUGGCGGCAGGCCUAACACAUGCAAGUCGAACGAGUGGCGGACGGGUGAGUAAUGUAUGGGAAACUGCCUGAUGGAGGGGGAUAACUACUGGAAACGGUCGCUAAUACCGCAUACCAUCGGAUGUACCCAUAUGGGAUUAGCUAGUUGGUGGGGUAACGGCUCACCAAGGCGACGAUCCCUAGCUGGUCUGAGAGGAUGACCAGCCACACUGGAACUGAGACACGGCCCAGACUCCGACGGGAGGCAGCAGUGGGGAAUAUUGCACAAUGGGCGCAAGCCUGAUGCAGCCAUGCCGCGUGUAUGAAGAAGGCCUUAGGGUUGUAAAGUACUUUCAGCGGGGAGGCGUUACCCGCAGAAGAAGCACCGGCUAACUCCGUGCCAGCAGCCGCGGUAAUAC
rnacentral:rRNA from 1 species